UGUUUAAUGAGUCCUCCAGAUCAGAGGUAGUAGGGAUGACCAGGGAUGUUCUCUGUUUAAUGAGUCCUCCAGAUCAGAGGUAGUAGGGAUGACCAGGGAUGUUCUCUGUUUAAUGAGUCCUCCAGAUCAGAGGCAGUAGGGAUGACCAGGGAUGUUCUCUGUUUAAUGAGUCCUCCAGAUCAGAGGCAGUAGGGAUGACCAGGGAUGUUCUCUGUUUAAUGAGUCCUCCAGAUCAGAGGCAGUAGGGAUGACCAGGGAUGUUCUCUGUUUAAUGAGUCCUCCAGAUCAGAGGCAGUAGGGAUGACCAGGGAUGUUCUCUGUUUAAUGAGUCCUCCAGAUCAGAGGCAGUAGGGAUGACCAGGGAUGUUCUCUGUUUAAUGAGUCCUCCAGAUCAGAGGCAGUAGGGAUGACCAGGGAUGUUCUCUGUUUAAUGAGUCCUCCAGAUCAGAGGCAGUAGGGAUGACCAGGGAUGUUCUCUGUUUAAUGAGUCCUCCAGAUCAGAGGCAGUAGGGAUGACCAGGGAUGUUCUCUGUUUAAUGAGUC